GAUGAACGCUGGCGGUAUGCUUAACACAUGCAAGUCGAACGGACUCUUCGGAGUUAGUGGCGGACGGGUGAGUAACGCGUGAGAAUCUGGCUUUGGGUUCGGGACAACCACUGGAAACGGUGGCUAAUACCGGAUGUGCCGAGAGGUAAAAGAGAAAUUGCCUGAAGAUGAGCUCGCGUAUGAUUAGCUAGUUGGUGAGGUAAAGGCUCACCAAGGCAGCGAUCAGUAGCUGGUCUGAGAGGAUGACCAGCCACACUGGGACUGAGACACGGCCCAGACUCCUACGGGAGGCAGGAGUGGGGAAUUUUCCGCAGUGGGCGAAAGCGUGACGAAGCAAUACCGCGUGAGGGAAGAAGGCUCUUGGGUUGUAAACCUCUUUUCUUAGGGAAGAACAAAAUGACGGUACCUAAGGAAUCAGCAUCGGCUAACUCCGUG
rnacentral:rRNA from 1 species